GUCCACGCCUUAAACGAUGGAUACUAGGUGUCGGGAGGUACUACACUCUCGGUGCCGCAGCUAACGCAUUAAGUAUCCCGCCUGGGGAGUACGGCCGCAAGGUUAAAACUCAAAGAAAUUGACGGGGGCCCGCACAAGCGGUGGAGUAUGUGGUUUAAUUCGAUGCAACGCGAAGAACCUUACCUGGGCUUGACAUCCCACGCUACCCUAUGAAAGUAGGGGUUCCCUUCGGGGACGUGGAGACAGGUGCUGCAUGGCUGUCGU
rnacentral:rRNA from 1 species